UUGGGGUUUAGGGUGAGCAAUUUAUGGUUUUCGCCCUACAAUUUAACUCUCGGAAGCGGUCCCUGAUUAUGGUGAGCAAGCUCACACUGAGAAAUCAGAAGUGAGAAGCCUAAAGUAAUUACCUACUGCGUCCACCUGUCAAACGACGGGCGGAACAUACAAGCCUCAUACCUAGACCCCUUU
rnacentral:other from 1 species